GGGAUCUUAGCUCAGCUGGGAGAGCAUCUGCCUUACAAGCAGAGGGUC
rnacentral:tRNA from 2 species